GCUGGGCUUCAUCACCAGGCCUCCUCACAGAUUCCUGUCCGUUCUGUGUCCUGGACUCCGGAUACCUCAACUCUCAGUACUUUGUGCUCAGCCCAGGCCCAGAGCCAUGGCUAUCUCCUCUUCCUCCUGCGAACUGCCCCUGGUGGCUGUGUGCCAGGUAACAUCGACGCCAGACAAGCAACAGAACUUUAAAACAUGUGCUGAGCUGGUUCGAGAGGCUGCCAGACUGGGUGCCUGCCUGGCUUUCCUGCCUGAGGCAUUUGACUUCAUUGCACGGGACCCUGCAGAGACGCUACACCUGUCUGAACCACUGGGUGGGAAACUUUUGGAAGAAUACACCCAGCUUGCCAGUGUCCCUUCCCCCCAGGGAAUGUGGACUCUGGCUGUCCUUGGGUGGUUUCCAUGAGCGUGGCCAAGACUGGGAGCAGACUCAGAAAAUCUACAAUUGUCACGUGCUGCUGAACAGCAACGGGGCAGUAGUGGCCACUUACAGGAAGACACAUCUGUGUGACGUAGAGAUUCCAGGGCAGGGGCCUAUGUGUGAAAGCAACUCUACCAUGCCUGGGCCCAGUCUUGAGUCACCUGUCAGCACACCAGCAGGCAAGAUUGGUCUAGCUGUCUGCUAUGACAUGCGGUUCCCUGAACUCUCUCUGGCAUUGGCUCAAGCUGGAGCAGAGAUACUUACCUAUCCUUCAGCUUUUGGAUCCGUUACAGGCCCAGCCCACUGGGAGGUGUUGCUGCGGGCCCGUGCUAUCGAAACCCAGUGCUAUGUAGUGGCAGCGGCACAGUGUGGACGCCACCAUGAGAAGAGAGCAAGUUAUGGCCACAGCAUGGUGGUAGACCCCUGGGGAACAGUGGUGGCCCGCUGCUCGGAGGGGCCAGGCCUCUGCCUUGCCCGAAUAGACCUCAACUAUCUGCGACAGUUGCGCCAACACCUGCCUGUGUUCCAGCACCGCAGGCCUGACCUCUAUGGCAAUCUGGGUCACCCACUGUCUUAAGACUUGACUUCUGUGAGUUUAGACCUGCCCCUCCCACCC
rnacentral:sRNA from 1 species